rnacentral:tRNA from 1 species
GCCAGUGUGGCAUAAUGGUCUGAGUGCUGGACUACGAAUUUGGAGACCAGGGUUCAAUUCCCUGCUUGGCCA